rnacentral:tRNA from 1 species
GGUAAAGUGGCUGAGUGUUAGGCGGUGGAUUGUAGUCCCAAAUACAUAGGCUUAAACCCUAUUUUUACCA